ensembl:piRNA 21ur-14202 ncRNA
UUGGAUAGUCUCACGGUCAAU